UACGGAGGGUGCAAACGUUGCUCGGAAUCACUGGGCGUAAAGCGCACGUAGGCGGUCCGAUAAGUCGGAUGUGAAAGCCCUGGGCUCAACCUAGGAAGUGCAUUCGAAACUGUCGGACUUGAGUACGGGAGAGGGUUGCGGAAUUCCCGGUGUAGAGGUGAAAUUCGUAGAUAUCGGGAGGAACACCAGUGGCGAAGGCGGCAGCCUGGACCGAUACUGACGCUGAGGAGCGAAAGCGUGGGGAGCAAACAGG
rnacentral:rRNA from 1 species